rnacentral:lncRNA from 10 species
UUUUUUUUUUUUUCCCGGGGAGUCGGCCUCGGGGCUCUGCUCUCCUACCUCAGUCUGCCCUACCCUGGAAUGGGGAAAAUGCGGACAUGCCACUCAGUCCGGCCGCGAACAGUGCUCCAGAACUCAGAGAGUUUUCCAGACGGGUGGAGAUCGCGUUCCCUGCCCGCCGAGGUCCCAUCGCUUCCCUGCUGGGAAGACAAAUGAGGCGCUUUAGCCGUCUCCACGGCCAGCCCCUCCCUCAUAACCCGAGAUUCUUUGUGGGCUCUUAGUCCAUAGCUGCCUUUGAGGUGGUGUAGACCUUGCUAACCAGGACGGCCCAGUAGGCAGAGCUCAUUUUUAUUCCUGUCUGCAAUCGUGCAAAAACGCCUCUUAUGGAAAAGCCAGAGCGCCAGGAGUCAGCAAAACACACUAAAGAUUGGGCAGUCACUGGGGAGAACACUCAGCCCGCCUGCACCCAGGUGAAAUAUACAGCCUUGUUGCUCACACAAAGCCUGUUUGGUGGUUUCUUCACACGGAUGCAUGUGACAUUUGGUGCUGAAGACCCAGGACAGGAGGACUCCUUUGGGAGACCAGUGCCCUGUUGUCGCCCUCACUCCGUGAGGAGAUCCACCUAUGAUCUCAGGUCCUCAGACCAACCAGCCCAAGGAACAUCUUGCCAAUUUCAAAUCGGAAGAUAGGAGUGUCAGGCCUCUGAGUCCAAGCUAAGCCAUCAAAUCCCCUGUGACCUGCACGUGUACAUCCAGAUGACCUGAAGCAACUGAAGAUCCACAAAAGAAGUGAAAGUAGCCUUAACUGAUGACAUUCCACCAUUGUGAUUUGUUCCUGCCCCACGCUAACUGAUACCAUAUAUUCUUCCCCCGCCCUUGAGAAUGUACUUUGUACACCUAUCCCAAACCUAUAAGAACUAAUGAUAAUCCUACCACCCUUUGCUGACUCUCUUUUUGGACUCAGCCCGCCUGCACCCAGGUGAAAUAAACAGCCCUGUUGCUCACAC